rnacentral:rRNA from 1 species
UACGGAGGAUGCAAGCGUUAUCCGGAUUUAUUGGGUUUAAAGGGUGCGUAGGCGGAAUUGUAAGUCAGUGGUGAAAUCUUGCAGCUUAACUGUAAAAUUGCCGUUGAUACUGCUAUUCUUGAGUAUAGUUGAGGUAGGCGGAAUGUGUAAUGUAGCGGUGAAAUGCUUAGAUAUUACACAGAACACCGAUUGCGUAGGCAGCUUACUAAGCUAUAACUGACGCUGAGGCACGAAAGCGUGGGGAUCGAACAGG